UGCAGUCGACGCUGAAGCCUGGUGCUUGCACCGGGUGGAUGAGUGGCGAACGGGUGAGUAACACGUGAGUAACCUGCCCCUGACUUCGGGAUAAGCCCGGGAAACUGGGUCUAAUACCGGAUACGACUGCCGGACGCAUGUCUGGUGGUGGAAAGUUUUUUCGGUUGGGGAUGGGCUCGCGGCCUAUCAGUUUGUUGGUGAGGUAAUGGCUCACCAAGACGACGACGGGUAGCCGGCCUGAGAGGGCGACCGGCCACACUGGGACUGAGACACGGCCCAGACUCCUACGGGAGGCAGCAGUGGGGAAUAUUGCACAAUGGGGGAAACCCUGAUGCAGCGACGCAGCGUGCGGGAUGACGGCCUUCGGGUUGUAAACCGCUUUCAGCAGGGAAGAAGCGCAAGUGACGGUACCUGCAGAAGAAGUACCGGCUAACUACGUGCCAGCAGCCGCGGUAAUACGUAGGGUACGAGCGUUGUCCGGAAUUAUUGGGCGUAAAGAGCUCGUAGGUGGUUGGUCACGUCUGCUGUGGAAACGCAACGCUUAACGUUGCGCGUGCAGUGGGUACGGGCUGACUAGAGUGCAGUAGGGGAGUCUGGAAUUCCUGGUGUAGCGGUGAAAUGCGCAGAUAUCAGGAGGAACACCGGUGGCGAAGGCGGGACUCUGGGCUGUAACUGACACUGAGGAGCGAAAGCAUGGGGAGCGAACAGGAUUAGAUACCCUGGUAGUCCAUGCCGUAAACGUUGGGCACUAGGUGUGGGGGGCAUUCCACGUUCUCCGCGCCGUAGCUAACGCAUUAAGUGCCCCGCCUGGGGAGUACGGUCGCAAGGCUAAAACUCAAAGGAAUUGACGGGGGCCCGCACAAGCGGCGGAGCAUGCGGAUUAAUUCGAUGCAACGCGAAGAACCUUACCAAGGCUUGACAUACACCGGACCGUCCUGGAAACAGGUCUUCUUCUUUGAAGCUGGUGUACAGGUGGUGCAUGGUUGUCGUCAGCUCGUGUCGUGAGAUGUUGGGUUAAGUCCCGCAACGAGCGCAACCCUCGUUCUAUGUUGCCAGCAUGUGAUGGUGGGAACUCAUAGGAGACUGCCGGGGUCAACUCGGAGGAAGGUGGGGAUGACGUCAAAUCAUCAUGCCCUUUAUGUCUUGGGCUUCACGCAUGCUACAAUGGCUGGUACAGAGAGAGGCGAACCCGUGAGGGCAAGCGAAUCCCUUAAAGCCAGUCUCAGUUCGGAUCGUAGUCUGCAAUUCGACUACGUGAAGUCGGAGUCGCUAGUAAUCGCAGAUCAGCAACGCUGCGGUGAAUACGUUCCCGGGCCUUGUACACACCGCCCGUCAAGUCACGAAAGUCGGUAACACCCGAAGCCGGGGCCUAACCGUAAGGAGAGGCCGUCUAAGGUGAC
rnacentral:rRNA from 1 species